UCAAAGCAAAACAAAACAAAACAAAAGAAAACAAAGCAAAUCAAAACCAAAAAGCUUUUCUCCAAGCGUCUGAUUUUAAUUUGAUGUGAUUUUGUAGAGGUUUCUGAAAAAUUAAAGCAUAUUCCUCCAACGUUCUGAGCUUAGAUUUUUAGCAUUUUACAAUGUAAAAUUACUUGACAUUAUUUAAUUGGACAUGAGGGUGUAAUACAGGAAUUUCCGUUACGUGAUGGAUUAAUUGUUUUCCUAAUACUUUAAAGGCUGGGAUCCAAACAUUUUUCCAUUCUAUUGCGAAAUUAACUGCAAUAAAUCUGUCAGACCCAAUUAUUCAUUUAAAACAUUCCACACUGAUUAAAUCUGCACAUUUGCCGGUGCGUGUGCGCGGCUGCGAGCGGGCGGCACGGAGAGGUGUGCGGCGGGGGGCGGCCGCACUCUGCUUCCUCCCCGAAACAGCAGAGGGCUGGGGAGCGAGCACUUUGGGGUUUAACCUGGAAAAUAUCAUUAUGCAGAUGGUGUCCUACGAGGAAUUCGGCAGGCAGAUAUCCCUCCGUCCAUCCGUCCGUCCGCGGCUGCUCUGUCCAUCUCCGUCCUCAGCGCCAGCUCUGAGCAGGCGGCAGCGUAGCGUGGAGGUGUGCGACGCCAUCCGACUCGAUCCUAUUUUACUUCUAUGGUGCGGUGGCGGUAUUUUUUUUUUUUUAAUAGUUUGUUGAUGUUUUCAAAGUCUCCAAACAAAGUCAGAUGUGUUAACAGUCUUAUUAACAAUGUUAAAAUGGAAUUAACAGCUUGUGGAUACCUCGGGAGCACAAUAGCAUGUCAGCCUACCCUGCCCCCUUAUAAAUCGUGUCCCGCUGUCUUUCCUUUGUUUCGGACCCAAUCAGCAAACCAAAGUUUUGUCGAGGCAGAAGGGCAGCCCGCGCCUUUCUGCGGGGCCACGGCGGCAGGCCGGCCGAGGGGAGGGCUCCGCUGACCCGCCGGGCUGCCUGACCUCUGCCUUGCCGGUUUGGAGGUUUGAAAGGCUUUUCCUAUGUUGUAGUUUACUUUUAUGGUCCUCUCAGUGCCGCCACGAAAGCUUUUGUUUACUUGAGAUGUAUUUGGGGUUCGCUUUCGGUUAACCUUCACAUCGCUCCCAGGGCUGCGCUGCUGUUGGGAAGGCUUAGCUCUGGAACAGUGUCAUGCCAGACACUGUAGACAGCCACCACCAACCGCAGCCAGGUUUUGAUAUUUCAAGAAUUGUUCGCCUCCGAGAGGGGAAACUGACAGCAGCACGUGCUGCUCUUCAGGGCGAUUUCACCGGAAUGGGCUUCUGUGCAAGAGAAAAACUUUUACUGUGUGCUCUCCUCUCCCAAGUUUCCCUCCUGCAGCCCUGCUGAAAUCUUAAGAAAUGUCACCCGUCACAUCGCGGUGUUAAAUGUAAAAAGAGCAUUUAAUGAGAUGUAAUUUUUUUCAUGUGGCUAGAGUAACCCGGGGUUAAUUUGCAUAUAAAAUUUAUGUGAAACGAAAGGCAUUCCCCAUAAGAAAAGUGUUUAUAUGUUUUGCUUUAGCUAUGAUAAUGACAUUUUUACUCCUUUCAUCCGACGGUCUCAAAGUAUUUACAAUUCCUCGUAGGGCUGCAUAGCACCACGAGGCAGGCGGGUGCUCCAUCCCAGCUGCAAGCCACACACUGUGUGCUGCAGGCAGGCUGCACUGUGCCCAAGGACUGCAGAACAGCAGCAAGCUAAGAAAAGCUAAAGUAGUCCUGUUUAUCGCCGCUGCUACCCCAGCAUCCUUCCCUGCUCUGGCUGUUCCACACAGCUGCUGGCAGGAGAUACGGAGGGCUGUGGCACACGAAAGCACCUGCUGGAGGUGCACCUGGAAAUCCAGCUUUAGGAAGUGGGCAUGCUCACUGUCCACAGAGCCCUGCUGUGCUUUAUUCAGUUGUGGCACUUGGAGGCAUCACCACAGCGCCCAGCGAGAGUCUCUCCAGUGUCAUCGUAAACGCGUGCUGUCAUCCCUGCUUCCCGUUCUAUAACUCAUCAUUCAGAAAAGUUGGCUCUUGCUGCUGCUGAACAGCUUCUUUCUCAUGGCACUAUUUUAUCUACUGAUGUUUUUAUGCAUAUUGCACUCAUUUGUCUGCAUUUGGGGUCAUCUGUGGAUUCAGUUCCACUGGUUUAUUAGUCCUUAGAGAUAGAAUAAGCCCAUCCACGAGUAAUUUUCUUCAACUUCAGUUUAUGUAGCUAUUUUGAAAGCACGGAAUAUUAGAUUACAAACAUGCACUAAAAAAAAAAAAGAAAAAAAAGAAAUGCGAGCUAAUCAAGAAGGCCUGCAGGCAAUUUGGCUUCGCUCUGGUGUCCGCUGAGCACUGCUCACCCUCGCUGCAAUGACAGAAGUUGGAAACAUUUCACCUUUCUGAGGGUCACAUCCUGCAGAAGGUGUGUAGUCAGGAGGAUGAAGUUGAAAAUAUUAUUUUCUCACCUGGCUGGUACAAAAAGCUUCUCACAGGGAAACCCGUGCCAGUUUUACAAUGAUAAAAAUCAGUACCUGCUCUUCAUUUUGUAGUAAUGAAAGAAUCAGGCUGAUAAAGACUAAAUUACAGAGGGAUCAACUAUGUUAUUUAUAGCACAGCUCACUUUUUACUAUGUUGUGAAAAUAUACGCAAUAGAGUACCCAGCAAUUUUCCAGUAAUUCAGCUUAUUUUCAAUAUUUUGUGUUUUUUUUCAGUAUUUUUACAAUGCAGAUUUUUUGCGUCGUGUAGAAAUUCCACAGAUAAAAAGGGAUAUUUUAAUCUUUAAGUCUAUGGAAUGAGAAACAAAAUGAUUUGUAACUAGGUGCUGUUUGAUAAAAUUUUAUAACAAAAAUAAAUGCUCAUUUUGGGGAAGUGUUCUCAUUUUUAUGCAGUGUUGUUUGAGGGAGUGGGGAGAUCCGUAGUCUAAUUACUGCAAAAUUGGUAAGUAGGUGUAGUGUUUGCUAAGAGCCCAGCCAGAGGGGUUGCUGAGACCUGCCUUGGGCUGCACCAAUUGGAAGAAAAUUUAAGAAUAAUUGCUUUUUCCUCUUUUCAUUUCUAUUCUUUAUAAUAUAUAAGAAAGAUCCUUUAUACAAUUUAUCUUUUGUGAAAAUAGUACCAUCCAUUUACUUUUAACAAACGGCAGUUUUGUAUGUGGAGCCAUGUGGAUGGCCAUUAAAUGUACCACGUUGGUGAGCUCUCAGUAACAUGUGCAAAGAGUUACGUGAGUUUCUUGAAAGGAGAGCCAUGGAAACUACACAAAAAUAUGUCAAAACUAUGCAAAAAUAAGCAGGCUCGGUGCCACUGAUGUAAGAGCAAUUCUAAGUGAGAGAUUGUAUUACUGAUAUGCUUGUCUAUUUGGGUCUAUUUGAGCUUCAGCUUGGAGAAGGCACAGCUGAGAUUGAGGAAAGGCCCCAGAGGUGCUAAUGGUUGUCUUCCUAUUGCCUUCACCUGUAGAGAAGUGAGGACGUGGCUUUGGGACACAAGGGGGAGAGUGGAGGACUUUGAUGGGUGCCGUGUUUGGGUUUUCUGUUCCUCUGGGUGAGCUGCAUGCAGAGCACGUGAGGGUGACGCUGGGUUUAUGUGCCAAUGGCAGAAGCUUCUGGGGAUGGAACAUCCAUCUUUUGCAUGGAGCAAAAGGAGCUGCAGUGACCCAGAAAGCGCCAUCCUGAACAGAAGGGAGGUGAAGUGAGGAGGCUGGUUGGAGGACUGUUCAGGCACAGGGAGGCUGGGUUUCAUCUCUGGCGCAGCUAAGACAGAUGGGAUUCUCGGAUCAUGCACUGUUAAGCCUUCCUUUGGAAUUCGCGCCACUGUGACCACAGAGCCCAGAUGGUGCUUAAAUCUGUCAUUUUUUAACAACCCUACUUUCUUAAUUUUAUAUCCAAACACAUUGAGCAUUCUAAGUGAUUAAUUACUGUCCAGAUAUGUCUGUGCUGAAGCAAUGUACUUGCAUGUGCCAAAGAUCAUUUCGUUUGCAGAAGUUAGCUUGGAGAGGGCUGGGUGGGCAGUGAGAGACCCCCCCAGCACAUCCCUUCUCCUGGAUGUUUGUACCUCCAAUUUGUACCUUCUUUUUCUGACAGCAGAGCAUUAGCAAAAAAGUUUCUGCCAGUAAAACAGAAUUUUGAUCACUGAUAUUUUCAUAGAAUCAUUAAGGUUGGAAAAGACCUCUAAGAUGAUCCAGUCCAUCCCAUCCUCACCAUGCCCACUAACAUUCAUGUGGCGCACCCACGUGUUUCUUGAACACCUCCAGGUGUUCUCCACCAGCUCCCUGGGCUGUCUGUUCCAGCACAUCACCACCCUUCCAGAGAAGGAAUUUUUUCUAACAUCCCACCUGAAUAUCCUCCCCUGGUGCAACUUAAGACCAUUAAUUCUUGUCCUAAGUUUUAAAGCUUCUGUGUGGGAUUCACUCUAUUGCAAUGUAAGUUUUGAUCUUGCCAAAUCUUCCAUUUGCUGGGAGUAACAGGAAAAGGACAGGUUUUGAUGCCUGACAGCACCAAUGUCAUCAUUUAAGGAUUUUGCAUCUGGGCAUUACUGGUAUGUCUAAGGUUGUAAUGACCAGCUAUGUAGAAAGCAGAGAUUGAAGACUUCAAGGAGCAGAGCUUGCUUACUGAGGUUUCAGGAAUGAAAUGCUCAAAUCACCAUAUUCAGAAUUGGAUGUUUCUCUGAUGGUUUCUCUUCAGUUUUCAUUUUAAACUCUUAAAGACUUUAAAUACAAUUAUUAUUUGUGUCUGACACUUGCUUUAAUUUGCGUGUUGGCAGCAGGCUGCUAUCAAUUCCCUGAUUUUUGGAAACGAGGCGAAAAGUGAUGCUGUGUGGUGCACAGCCUUCCUGUAGAUAUCAGUGCAGCCCAGGGAAACCCCUGAAGUGCUGCUGCUCUUUCCUUUGGCUGAGCAGCGAUAGCCACCUGAGGGUUGUUUGGGGAUGUCACCGUGUAUUGUCUGCUUGAUCACAUCAGCUGUAUGCAGGUAGAGCUGCUGCUCAAAACACUGUGCAGGAAGGAAUUUCCUCUGGGGUGCCUGAAGUCUGUCAGAGUUCCUGGGGCUUUUUCUGCUUUGCAAAGAAAUUGUAAUGCUCAUGCUAUGUUAAACACUGGCAGAGCAAAUGUCGAGUGCUUCUUGCGUUAGGGGGGACACUGGACAGCAGCAGGCUCUCCUUCUUCAUACGGUCUUUGUGUUUUGCACAGUGCUACCUGUUAGCUCUAUGAAUAAACACAGCCUGCAACGUUAAACGUAACAGCAUUAGCAUAUGCCAUCUCAACCAAGGGAUAUUGCUUUUUGCAAGGGAGAUACUAUUCUUGUCUGAGGCUGAAAUUUCCUUUCCUUCCAUGUGGUAGGAAGCUGCGCAGUCCCUAGUGGCAAACGAAAUCAGUCUCUCUUAGGUGUAAAGUUUGCAAGGAGGCAUUUUUUCCUGAGAGGUUUUAAAUGAGCUCAGCCAGCAUUAAAUACUGAAGACUAUAAUACUGCGGUAGCUGCUGCUGCUGAGGCUCAAAGUGAUGAAACAAUGCAUGUUAUUUAUCAGACCAGGCAGGGUCCCUCAAUGGACAGGAGCUCUCAACUAAGAAUGUUUUGUCUUAUUCGCAUCACUGCUGAGGACCAGUUCUUGGGCAAUGAACAGCC